GAGUUUGAUCCUGGCUCAGAUUGAACGCUGGCGGCAUGCCUUACACAUGCAAGUCGAACGGUAACAGGUCUUCGGAUGCUGACGAGUGGCGAACGGGUGAGUAAUACAUCGGAACGUGCCCAGACGUGGGGGGAUAACGAGGUGAAAGCUUUGCUAAUACCGCAUACGAUCUAAGGAUGAAAGCAGGGGACCGCAAGGCCUUGCGCGUUUGGAGCGGCCGAUGGCAGAUUAGGUAGUUGGUGGGAUAAAAGCUUACCAAGCCGACGAUCUGUAGCUGGUCUGAGAGGACGACCAGCCACACUGGGACUGAGACACGGCCCAGACUCCUACGGGAGGCAGCAGUGGGGAAUUUUGGACAAUGGGCGAAAGCCUGAUCCAGCAAUGCCGCGUGCAGGAUGAAGGCCUUCGGUUGUAAC
rnacentral:rRNA from 1 species